rnacentral:piRNA from 1 species
UAGUCCCCAAAACCUUUCAGUUGACUGC